ensembl:lncRNA
AUGAGGCAAGAGGGAGUUUCACAUACAUUGUUGUUGUUGUGCACCUUCCAGAUAUGUCCUCAAAUCUCAGGGCCGAGAGAGUGUGACCCACCUAAGGUCACCCAGCGGGUUUGCACGGCUAAGGGGCAAAUCAAACCUCAGUCUCCAGAAUCUCAGUCUGCCCUGAAACCAUUAUUAUUAUUGGAGUGCUAUGUGGUUUCCGGGCUGUUUGGCAGUGUUCUUGCAGCAUUUUUCCUGACAUUUUGCCUGUAUCUAUGGCUGGCAUCUUCAGAAGUUUCUGAGCAUACAUACAGCCCAGAAACCACACAACACCCCAGUGAUUCCGGCCGUGAAAGUUUUGACAAUACAUUCUUAUUAUUGUUGUUAAUGUUAUUGUUAUUGUUAUUCCACCAUCAUCCUGUUUCUUCUCUCUUAAAAGAAGUUCAAAGGGACUAGUAAUGCCCGAGCCCUUUAAUUAAGUUUAAUUAAAACUUAAAACAUAUAAACACAGAAAUGGAAUUAAACAUAGGAUUACUAAAAAUAUGAAUGCAUAGUUAAAACUAUUUCAAAUUCUAUUACAAUGCACGAAACACUAGACCAUGCUGGCUUUCUUUAACAGGCGUGCAGAUAUCUAUUUGUGUAUGUGCAUCAACCCACCACAGUCCCUACCCCUCCAUUCUUGUCUUGCCUCCUCCCUUUCUCUUGCCUCUGUCUCUCUCUUAUUUUUAAACUGGUGCCAUGCCUCUUCCCACUGCGUGACUCUCUUCCAGGCUGGAAUUUGCCCUAAAAUAGCCGCUCUGCUUCUCUGCGGCCGCUCCGGCAGCCGCUCCCUUCCCUGGCAUGAGCUGGGGCUUCAGGCGCCGUGUGGGUCCAACUGACCAGACAAAGCCAGGGAGGCCUUGGAGUGAGCAGCAGGCCUUGGGUGGUGGUUGGGCUUGAUGCCCUUUGGGAACCUCAUUGAGCUCUAGGACCCUGAGGCUUUGCUUCUCCAGAGUUGGACUGGAUGGCCUUUGGGCUCCCUUCCAACCCUAAGAGCCUUGGAUGAUUGGUAUAUAUAUUUGGUGUUGUAUUGUCUUAAAUUUUUCUAUAUUGUAUUUUACUAUGUUAUUUAAUUAUUUUAACUGUUUUAUUCUUAUUUUAUUGUAUUAUGAUGUACUGGUAGUGAUCCUACCAGUUGUGUAAGCCGCCCUGAGUCCCCUCGGGGAGAAGGGCGGGGUAGAAAUAUUGGAAAUAAAAUAAACAAAUAAUGAUCUGGGGAGUGGAGUCUCUGUGUGCUUUGCUGCCUGCAUUCCUUCCUUCCUCCCUUUUCCUCCUCCGCCCUUCCUCCAGAGUUUUCCAGACCGCCAACAAAAUGCCUAUUUUACGGGCCUUUCUGCUCCCAAACACUACUUCUGGAACAUGGCCACACAGCCCGAAAGACAUACAACAACACCACACCAGCUGUUCCCAAGCACACGCCUGGCCCAUCGAUGGCCACUUCUCCCUUGACCAGCCAUAAUCCGUGCCGCUUGGGCUGGAGCGACCAGAUUUAAAAUAGUUUCCGGCAUCCAGCUUUGCUCUCUGUCUGGCUAUGCAUGCGCUGCUAUUAUUAGCGUUGGAUCGUAUCUGCGGAUAUUCCUGGCGGCCAGAAAGCUACGUGGCUAAUAUUUUUGAAAAGGCAGCUGUUGGGGCUGGGUUCCACAAUGCAUUGAAAUGCUGCCUGUCUUUGUUUGUCUGUUUCAUAUUCUUCUGGGCCACCGCAAGAAUGAACAAACAAUCCCAUUUGCUAGACCAAGGCCAGCUCUUUGCAAGGUGAGCAUCUCCUGUGUCGCACCCCAAAGGUACGAGAGCACUCUGAAAAUCACACUGAAGCCAGAUGUUCAUAUAUAUAUAUAUAUAUAUAUGCAGAGUCAAUAGAGCAAGUAGUCCAUAAUAUAAUGUCCACAAUAGUUCAAAAGAUAGUUCUUCAAAAUCUGUCAAAGUUAUAAUCCACAAACAGAACUCAAAGGGUCCCAGCAAAGAGUCAAAGUCAGUAAGCACCCAGGAAUUGCAGGAAUCAGGGACAAGACACAGCAAAAUGACAACUGUAAUCCACCUGGAAGGUAUUCCUUCAAAAGCAGGGAAACCAGAGUAACAAGGCAAGGUAUACUCGAGAGUCACAAGGCGCAAACUCCAACAGGGAAUCCUGGAAACGGCAAGGAUCAAGAGACAGGAACAGAGAUGCUUCUCCCAAGAAUGGCAAUGUUGACACCGCAACGAAAACAAGGAGCGAGGUCCCUUUAAGGAAACCUCAAGGCUACCGCUCAAUGAGAUCCAGGACAAUCACAGCUUCACAUGGGAAAGUUUAUUAAUUACAGCGCUUGAGAGCCAAACGUUUACUUCUUCUCAGCACUUCUCUUUGACUCCUAUCCUGUGAGAUAGAUUGUCUCCGAUCAAAAGGCACAUCCUCCCCUACAACAACUCCAUCUGGUGAAUCCAGCCUUAAGUUAACAUCAGAAUGUUCCCCAAUUAGCUGUUUCUCUGGGAGCACAACUUCAGGCACCUACAAAGUCAUUGGGCUCUGAUCCAAACCCCAGAGAGGCUCAAAAUCUAAAUCAGCCUCUGAGUCCCACUCCGUCAACAGUGUGAUGCAGCAGCUAAAAAGGCCAAUGGAUUCUAGGCAGCAACCAUAGGAGGAUAGUGUCAAGAUUGUUGCUGAAAACCUGAAGCCCAAAAUGGACCCAAAACCAGUGGCUCCAAGGGCGCCCAGAAACCGACUCUGCAGUAACCUUCCCCAGUUUCAGGCAAUGUCCAAGUGAAUUAUUAUAAUAAUUAUUAUUAUGUUUAUUUAUAUACUGCUUUAUCUUCCCCGAAGGAGACUCAAAGCAGCUUACAAUUAAAAGCAUGACCACAUAAUUUAAAAUAUACAAAUUGUUGUUGUUUAGUCGUUUAGUCAAAUAGGGAAAAGUUAAAACAGAAUUAAACCUAACAGUAUUAAAACUAAAAAAUCCAUUAAAACAUGAUCUUCUACUUUAACUUGCCAAUGUUUGCACAAAACAUCACACACACAUUAGGAGAUACCCCUUGACCCCAUCCAGGAAAAGACAUAAUCCUUCUUAACAUGCUCUGGGUCACAUAAUGGACUUAGAAAGAGCCAAGAGGGCUAUCCCAAGACUUGAUCUAGUUCUAUCCCUAGGAAGUUCUAUCCCAAUCGGUAGAUCAGAUCCCUCCCUGGGAUCUACAUUGAAGCUGUGACAACACCUGUGCUGUCCAUUGUGUAGCCAGCCAAAGCCCAUUGUCCUGUUCUGGAUCGGCAGGAGCAGAGCCAUCAAUCCCUUUAACUCAGGCACAGGCAAAGUUCGACCCUCCCUCUGGGUGUUUUGGACUUCAGCUCCCACAAUUCCUAACAGCCUCUGGCCCCUUCCUUCCCCCCAAGUCACUCAAGUACCUUGAGGGCUCAAGUCUGAUCUAACUCCAAUCCAGUCACAUUCCUUUCCUCCGAUGCCCUUUCCAUGGGCAGACCCAAAAAAUGGCACUGACUUCAAGUCAUUGAAUGACAGUUUUUAAAAUUUUCUCCAAAGCUUGCAAACCAAUCAGUAGUGGUGAUGGAUGGCGCUUCUGCACCAAUGUGGAUGGAUCCUAGCCAGCCCCAACCUGGACCAAUCACCGCUGAGGCGGAAAACUUUUUGUUCUGAAUAGGACUAGGCUGUGAUGCAGCUGGUUAGUAGCCAGCUGCAAUAAAUCACUACUGACUGAGAGAUCAUGAGUUUGAACUAGCCUGGGUUGGAUUGAGUACCCGACCAAUCAAAAUAGCCAAGUUUGUUGUUGACCUGAGCAACCCGAACGAUAGUUGCAUCCAUCAAGUAGGAAAUUUAGGUACUGCUUAUUAUACGAGAAGGCUAAUUUAACUAAUUUACGACACCAUAAAAUCAUCCAGCAGUGUGCAUGCAGGAAGAAUGAGGAAGUAUUCCAUCAAGGACUUGGUGUCACAGUGGAUGAUGAAGCAGCAACUCCCCCUAUGGCCGGAAUCGAGCAUACCUUCAUGAAGCCGGAAGCUGGAAAAUGUUAAAUUCCCUCUGUGUCUUUGUCUGUGUGUGUUGUAUGUCUAAUGGCAUUGAAUGUUUGCCAUGUAUGUGUACAUCGUGAUCCACCCUGAGAACCCUUCGGGGUGAGAAAGAAGGGCGGAAUAGAAAUACUGCAAAUAAAUAAAUAGCUGUCAACGUGCUAUAAAUAAAUCUGUAUGUUCGCAAAUGAGCUUAUGUCAGUUUUUGGAGUGCAGACUCUGGUGACAUCUGCUUUGUCCAAGGAGAAUAAAAGCCUCUGUUCUUUGUUUUCAUCUCAUCUGUGUCUUAUUUGGUCCUUUGAAGCUUCACACGCCAGGCUUCCAAACCCA